GGGGCUAGUGAUGAUAAUUGAAUCAUGGGGCGAGUUUCCCCCAUACUGUUCUUAUGGUAGUGAAUCAAUCUCACAAGAUCUGAUGGUUUUAUAAAUGGGAGUUCCCAUGCACAAGCUCUUUCUCUUGCCUGCCACCAUGGAAGAUGUGACUUUGCUCCUCAUUUGCCUUCUGCCAUGAUUGUGAGGCCUCCCCAGCCAUGUGGAGCUGUGAGUCCAUUCAACCUCUUUCCUGUAUAAACCACCCAGUCUCGGGCAUGUCUUUAUUAGCAGCUUGAGAACACACUAAUAUGCCAACUUGAAUUAUUUUUGACCCAUCCUACUGGCAACAAUUAAGAAGUUUUCAAUACCUGGCACUGGAGUACAGGAGGAGAGGUAACCCUCUUGCUCUGGUGGGACGCCAGGGGGCACAUGCUGCCAGGCCAGUGUGGUCAUAGAUCUGCAUCUAAACUUCGUGCACCCAGCACCCUCAGUAUCAGAAACUCCAGUGUAGUGGAUUUAAUCUUUUUACAGAGUAGGCCAAGAUGUACCCAGGAGAAUGGUCACCGCCCCAUUGCUUAAAACCUGUGAUGUCACUCAGACACUCAGGGAUCCAAAGGUGAGCACAGCUCCAGGUCCUCUGGGAGCACUAACCUGAUCUUUGCAGCUGCCUGUGAAGUGGGUACCCUCCUCAUCCUCGUGACACAGAUGAGAAAACAGAGGCACAGAGAAGUUCAAUAACUGUCCAAGUCACACAGCAGGGAGGGUGGACCCAUCCUGCCUUCUCACCAGUCAUGGCAGGGCACAGUGAAGGAGGGGGGUGAGCCUCAUGGUACAGAGCCUGGCACGUGGUGGGCGUCCAAUCCCUGCCUAGCACUACUGUUAUCAUGGUGGACACGGGUGCUCUGGCCUACAAUUCUGGCACUCCAGGGGUCUGGAGCAAGCCGAUGGAAAAACCCCAGCUGCUUUCUCGGAGUGAGAACCCGGCUUACAGCAGCUCCAAGAGUCGCCAAGGGGGAAGGACUCAGAACCCUGCAAAGGACAGCCAGACCCCUCCAAGGGCUGGAAAUCACUUCCCUUCUCUGAACGUCCAUCCCAGCGAGAAGGUGGCUGCAGUCCACGUGGCACGGGGAGGAGGAACUUGAAAGCAUACAGCAAAAUGCGGUGCUCGGAGGGAGACCGACUGCCCAGUUCCAAAUGUUAGUAGUUUCUUUUAUUUUCUUCAGGCUUCCACGAAACCUCCAAUAAACAAUAGGCUAGCAGGGUCA
rnacentral:lncRNA from 13 species